UACGAAGGGGGCUAGCGUUGCUCGGAAUCACUGGGCGUAAAGCGCACGUAGGCGGAUUGUUAAGUCAGGGGUGAAAUCCUGGAGCUCAACUCCAGAAUUGCCUUUGAUACUGGAUGUCUCGAGACCGGGAGAGGUGAGUGGAAUUCCGAGUGUAGAGGUGAAAUUCGUAGAUAUUCGGAAGAACACCAGUGGCGAAGGCGGCUCACUGGCCCGGUUCUGACGCUGAGGUGCGAAAGCGUGGGGAGCAAACAGG
rnacentral:rRNA from 1 species